rnacentral:tRNA from 4 species
GUGGAUGUAGCUCAGUUGGUUAGAGCGCUAGUUUGUGGCACUAGAGGCCGUGGGUUCGAGUCCCAUCUUCCACCCCA